rnacentral:rRNA from 1 species
GAUGAACGCUGGCGGCGUGCCUAAUACAUGCAAGUCGAGCGAACAGAUGAGAAGCUUGCUUCUCUGAUGUUAGCGGCGGACGGGUGAGUAACACGUGGGUAACCUACCUAUAAGACUGGGAUAACUCCGGGAAACCGGGGCUAAUACCGGAUAAUAUUUUGAACCGCAUGGUUCAAUAGUGAAUGACGGUUUCGGCUGUCACUUAUCGAUGGACCCGCGCCGUAUUAGCUAGUUGGUAAGGUAACGGCUUACCAAGGCGACGAUACGUAGCCGACCUGAGAGGGUGAUCGGCCACACUGGAACUGAGACACGGUCCAGACUCCUACGGGAGGCAGCAGUAGGGAAUCUUCCGCAAUGGGCGAAAGCCUGACGGAGCAACGCCGCGUGAGUGAUGAAGGUCUUCGGAUCGUAAAACUCUGUUGUUAGGGAAGAACAAAUUUGUUAGUAACUGAACAAGUCUUGACGGUACCUAACCAGAAAGCCACGGCUAACUACGUGCCAGCCGCCGCGGUAA